UCCAUCUGGCAGGAUUCAUUCUUAAUAUUUUUAAUUCUUUUACUGAACUGCCUAGUCUCACUUCAUGUUUCCAGUAACUUCUGUCAUGUCUUCAAACAUAUUUAUUAUUCUGGUGGUAAAUUCCUCUCCUGUUUUCCAUGAGAUCUGCGUUCUCUGGUAUCUCUCAACCUUGCCAUGCUCAGAAUUUGCCCUCUGAGCUCACCUCUGUUCCUGUGGGACCAUUAGCCACCUUGAUGAGUGAGACGCAUCAUGGAGCAGGGAGAAGUCUAGCCAGCUUGUGCUUCCCCAGGUGAAAUGGCCCUCCCCCUCCCUGGCCACCUUCCCUGCCAAUGGACCGAAUCUACUUCUAUCUGCUGCUGGUUACUGAGCACAGCUCUGAGGUCUCUCAUCUCCUCUGACGUCCCUCUGCAAGAGAACACUCCUAUUCACAUAAACCAAGUCUAAAAUGAAAAAGCUGCCGAUGCCGCUUCUGAGGGCCUUUGAACGCUGAGUAGAUAUUAAGGAAUAAUAACACGUUUUAGACGUGAUAACUGGUAUUGUGUUUCUGUUAAAAUAAAGAGUUCUCCUCUUUUAGAAAUAAAUACUAAAAUAUUUAUAGUUGAAA